rnacentral:rRNA from 1 species
AAAGGAAUAGACGGGGACUCGCACAAGCGGUGGAGCAUGCGGUUUAAUUCGAUGCAACGCGAAGAACCUUACCAGGUCUUGACAUCCCAUUGACCGGCUUAGAGAUAAGCCUUUCCUUCGGGACAAUGGUGACAGGUGGUGCAUGGUUGUCGUCAGCUCGUGUCGUGAGAUGUUGGGUUAAGUCCCGCAACGAGCGCAACCCCUAUCAUUAGUUGCCAUCAUUAAGUUGGGCACUCUAAUGAGACCGCCGGUGACAAACCGGAUGAAGGUGGGGAUGACGUCAAAUCAUCAUGCCCCUUAUGACCUGGGCUACACGCGUGCUACAAUGGCCAGUACAAAGAGUUGCGAUACCGCGAGGUGGAGCUAAUCUCAUAAAGCUGGUCUCAGUUCGGAUUGUAGUCUGCAACUCGACUACAUGAAGGUGGAAUCGCUAGUAAUCGCGAAUCAGAAUGUCGCGGUGAAUACGUUCUCGAGUCUUGUACACACCGCCCGU